rnacentral:lncRNA from 1 species
UACAAGGUCCUUCUUUUUCUCCAGGAAAUAAUAAUAAUUUCACAAUUCUCACAAGAUGUCCAGAUAAUUUACAUUUGUCUUGCAGUUAUAGUAUUUUCAACCGUGAUUGAUGAACUCUGUUGAAUAGUUUGGCCUUUGGUUGGGACUAACAUGCUUCAAAUUGUUGAGAUAUUUUAAUCUAAAACUUCAACUGAAAAUUUGGAGUUGCCUUUUCCAUGAUAUGGUGCAUAGGAAAAUGCUUGUAUUUCUUGGCCAAGAUAAAUUUUGAAGUAGGCUCUGGUGGAAGUGUGGUUACGGGGACUAUUUCAAACAAGACCUGUCCAACGCUUAAGCUUGGCUUGAUUUUAUUGGAAUUUGACCUGUUGUUGAACCUAGUUGUUCAGAGUCUGAAAGACUAAAGCUCUGUCAAAAGGCUGAGCUUAACCCAGAAUAGAUAAUAUAAUUUGUUGGUAUUUCACUAAUUCAUUACUUGUUUACUUCAUCCUCUAACAUCAGAUGCUCUUAUUUGACAUAAUUAUACGCUCUUAUUAUUAGAGAUACUAGUUUGUAGUAGUAUAUAUACUUGUAAUAACCCCAUUAGUGGGAUAACUUCCUCAUUUGUAAUAUUACAUUUUACUAUCAAUAGAACAAUUUCAUAACCUUUUCUCUCCUUCAUCCUGGAUAUCAUGUUUCCUAACAUGGUAUCAGAGCUAAUCUGGUAUCCACCUUGAAGGAAUUUUCCGCUGCAUUUUCUCGAGAAAAUUCUAUUUUCUCACUUUCAAUUUCUUUCUUACUCCAAUUUUCCCGUACUCAAUUCCUUUCCUUCGUUUUUUUCUCUCUCACUUUCUCUCUACUUCCGUUUUGUUUCCGGUUUGUUUUCUCGAUGAAUUUCUCAUCUUGAAUUCCUUUUUUUCUUGAUCGUUUCAUCGAUCUUUAUUCUGAUUUCAAUUGUGAUUCACUUGUCCUCUUUUCAAUUUGAGAUUGCGUUUUGAUCGCGAAUUUUCGUUCUCACCUUUUCUCCCUCAUUUCUAGGGUUCCGUGAUUUGUUACUUCAUCAAUUGCAAUUUCCAGUUUCUGAAUCUCGCGAUUUCGUGAUUUGAUUUCUUAUGUUCUUGCGAUUGCAAUUCUGUUUCAUCGCAUUUCUUUACUGUUCGAUUUUGUUUUGCGUCUUUCCCCAAUUCUUAGGGUUUCAGAUUCGUUUUAUCUGUACCUUGAGAUUUUGGCGUUUUGGUCCUUAUCACUUAUGGAUAUUGCUUCCAAGGUGUUUGUUGAAGGUCCUCAUUGGGAAGAAUGAUGGGUACUGUGUUCGGUUUGACCGUGCAGGUUGUUUGUUUUGAGAGAUUUAUGGAGAAUUCUUGAUUCUGGAAGUUAUAGAUGGAGAUUCAUUUUUGAUUAUUUUUGAAGAUUUGGAGUUAUCAAUUUGUUAGUGACUUUCAAGUGCAAUCUACUUCUUUUUGCGAUCGUGCUCUAUUGGAUUUUGUAUUUCACUGUCGUAUACGUGAGGAUGGGAGUCAAUAUCUAUGUGGCUGAUCUUGUUCCUUGCCGCUUUGAAGCUCUAGUUGCUGGCAAUAUUGUCUCUGCAGUUCAGUCUUUGGUAAUCAUCUAUUCUACUGCCAUUGCUCUCUUUUCUCCAUAUAUUCUUUGAAGUUGUUUCGUUUUACAAGAAUUAGCUAUCUGGUUUGUGUUGCAAUUUUCUGCAUAUAUGUUCUUUGUAUGUGAGGGAUUAUAAUGCUCACAAGAUUCUUGGUUAUUGGCAUUGAUGAGUAUUUGGUAGUUGUUGAAGUUAUAAUGCCUUUGGAACUUUGAUCUUUGUUGGUUAUUGCUUAUGGUGAACCUGACGUGAACUUAGAUGCUGAAUACAUGGAUGGAUUUAUGUAGAAAUGUAGUUCUGGCUUAUUGCUAUUUCAACAUAUCUUGUUGGCAAGAUACAUUCUGUUUUAGUCAUCCAUCAUUGUGGACCUAUGGCACUUUUUCAAGAGAUUUUAUGGAAGUGCAUGGUGUAAUAUUAAAAGGCAUUGCAUCAGUAUCUCUCCUAUAUGAUUGAAGUUUAUGUAGCUUUGUUAAACAAGACAAUUUUCUCAUGGCUGUAAGUGCCUCCUUCACAAUUGAAUUGGAUUCUGCUUUGAGUAUAUGCAUUCUCUCUUUGUCCUGGAUCGUGUGUGAAGUUUGUUCAACAUAUGACCUCCUUCCAUUGUAGACUUUGGCCCUUCCUUGCACUUCUUUUCUUUUGGAUAUCAUCAUUGAUUUUGGAUAUCCUUGUUUUUCUUGUCUUGUGCUUCUGUUCAUGAUGGUUAAGCUAUGUUAAUAAGCUUCUGUCAUGAAUGGUUAAGCGUUGUGCUUCUGUCCAAGGAUGGUUAAGCGUCGUUUUUCUUCUUCUUCUUCUUGUGCUUCUGUCUUGAGUUAUUGAAAACUCUUGAUGGUUAAGCGUUAUGCCUUUUAUGGCUUUGUGAAUAUUGGCUUCUACCGGAUGGUGGUUAAGCGUUGCUUUGAUGCUCCUUCAUUCAAUUGGUUCAACCUUGAGUUGUGGUUGCUUCUUGUUGGAUAAGCACUUGCUUGAUGACUAUGUUUUUUUUUUAGCCGAUGUGUUUCCGGCAUCUUUCCUUGUAUUUUCUCAUUUCAAGUUGAAAGUGUUUUGAACACCUUCCAACUUGAGGGGGACUAUUAGAGAUACUAGUUUGUAGUAGUAUAUAUACUUGUAAUAACCCCAUUAGUGGGAUAACUUCCUCAUUUGUAAUAUUACAUUUUACUAUCAAUAGAACAAUUUCAUAACCUUUUCUCUCCUUCAUCCUGGAUAUCAUGUUUCCUAACACUUAUGUUACCUAACAUUUAUUGGAUAUAUCAAACUAUGUUUUUAUCACAUUCUUGCAGGUUAACAUUCGUCUGUCUAGCUUUUAACGGGUUUUGUGAUGGUAUCUCUUCCUUUUCGUGUUUGAUAGUUUUCGGUGCUCUCUUCUGCAUCAUCCAAAUAAUAGUGUUAGCUUAUGCUUUAGUGCAACCUUUGAGAAUCAGAGAAGGUGCUUCAGAAGAUGAUAUCAAGUCACUUCCUAUGUAUAGGUUUAGUCAGCCAAAUGUAAUGAUUAUGGUUGAUAAGAACAAGAAGCAACUUGAUGAAGCAAGAAUUGGUUCGCACAAUCAAAGCCAUAUCAGUGAACUAUCUCUUCAUCCAGAUGAUUCUGUAAGUACAAACUGGGUCUUCUCUUAUCUCUCAAUCCUUAAUUCUUUAGUUUUUCUUUAGUUUUAAUAUCAAUGUAUUGUAACUUGUAAUUAACUUUAUGUAUGAAUUGGAUCUUUUCUCAAAAAAAAAAAUGUAUGAAUUGGAUCUAUAUAUGAUUGGACUAUAUGGUUAAUGAAUUGAAAAAUUGUUGCAAUCCUCAAUGUUAUCUUUGAUUUGUUCUUAAAUAUGCUUGUGUUUAUAAUUGAUUUCAAUAAAAUCCUAUCUAGAAAAUAUUCUCCCCAUUCAUCUAAUGUAUUUUAAACUUAUUUUUUUUGGAAGAGGGUUCAAUGUGAAUUUGGUAUGACCUGAAAAUUGCUUCCCGUGAUUCUUUGAUGCUUGUCAUACAGUUGAGAUACAUUAUGAAACUACAGAAAGAGACUAACCACUUCUGAUUAUGCUGUAGGAGUGUUGUAUAUGCCUCUGUUCAUAUGUUGAUGGAACAGAACUGUAUCGCCUUCCAUGUACCCACCAUUUUCAUUGCGAAUGCAUCAGUCGUUGGCUUCGGACAAAAGCAACUUGCCCACUCUGCAAAUUUAAUAUCCGAAGAGGUGAUAUAUUGGUUUGAUAUUUCGUUGAUAAAGACUAGAUAGCACUGAGGUGAAGUAUCACUUAAAUGGGACAUGACAGUGGAGAACCAAAAUAUUUGCUAAUCUGCUGACUAGUGUUGGUACAUAAGUUGAAAACAAGAAGGAAAUGCCCCACCCUCUCAUCUUUGUCUUUGAAUUCUAGUUUCCUUAGAGGUAAUUUAACUUUUUAACCAGUCUUGAGGGUUUACACCAUAAGUUGUACUUAUAAGGCAAAUUUAAUUUAUUUUUUUAUGCAAACUUACAAGGCAAUUAAAGAAACAAUUUUAUGUACAGUAAUAAUUUUUUUGACCACUUUCUCCAUCUCCACUCACAAUUAAAUUCAAAACUAUGUAUGAAAGUUACACUUCUCAAAUUUUAUUUUAUUUUUUCAACUGCCAUUGGCCGACGACGCUUAACCGCCAUUUGGCUCUCCAACGACAGUUAAGUGUCGUUCGACACUUUUAAGAUCGGUUUCACCACUUUUUAAGCCGAUUCAAAAAGUAGGUUGAACGGCGGUUAGCUAUCGUUAGAGGUAAAUGGAUAAUUUCGGGGUGUUUUGGAUUUUUUUUGGAAAUGAGAAGAGUAAUUUUCACUUUAUACACACCUUAUACUCGGUAAAUAGUGGGAUCACAAUGGAAAAUGAAGGACAAUUGGGCUACCAAUGUGGAAAAGUUUACUUGAGCUUAUCAUAUUGGGAAAAAUUCAAAUUCUAUAGUUAAAAUCUGUUUUUUUUUUUUUAAAAGUUAAUUAACAUUGUGAAUACCAACUACCAAGUGUCUCUUUUGUUUUGUUAUUUUAUUAGACUAAAUUUUUUUAGAAUCAGCAAAUUUUAUUCACACAAGCGUGUGCAAGAAACACAACAAAAACUCGCGGGCAGCACAAGAACAAUACGACAGACACUGAAAUACCAGAAACCCCACAAACAGCAACAAAAAGCUCCCACAACGCAUGACAGAAAGCCUGUAAGAAGCAAAAACCAGAAAACAAAAACUGCUAACAGAACAGCAGACCUGAGGCUAACAUAUACAAAACUGCAGUACACCAAACCGAAGCUCAUAUAUAAAACUUAAUUAACUUCUUAUGUAUGUUGUUUUAGUUCACGCGUGAUGCAUGUGAACAAUGAACUUAGUUAAAGUAGCAGGUAGAUGAAAAAGGAAGGAUAUAAUGAUUAAAAAUAUUAAAAGGCAUUAGAGGCAUUUUUGUCAAAAAGGGUGUACUAGAAAAAGUCCUAUUAUACUUCUUUGUGGCUCUUAUAUUAUUAUUUCUCUCUCUUUUUACCAUUUCUUUUCACAUCCUAACAUAAAUGGAGAGUUUGAAAUCCUAACAUGCAAAACGCUUUUGGAAAUGAAAAUGAUGAUCGGUGCAGGUGCAUAUUGCGCGUUAACCCGUAACCCCCUUCUGCUGCUAUCCCGCUCCUUCAACAUUUUUCCUAAACUCACCCCCCUUCAAAAAAGGGUCUACUAGAAAAACUCCUCUUUUCACAUCCUAACAAAAAUGGAGAGUUUGAAAUCCUAACAUGCAAACCCCUUUUGGAAACGAAAAUGAUGAUCACCGGUGCAUAUUGUGCGCUAACCCGUAACCCCCUUCUGCUAUCCCGCUCCUUCAACAUUUUUCCUAAACCCACCCCCCUUCAAUUUCCAACUACACCCUCUCCUUCGUUUCCUUCAUUUAACCGCUUUCCAUCUCUCUUCCCUCAACUGUGCAUCCGUCAUUCUCGCCUCUCCACCCUCCCUCAUAAUGACUCCGGCGGAUUUGGCGGUGAUAGUGGCUCUGGAGGAUGGGAUCCCGGCGACAAUGAUUCCGAUGACGGAGGCGGAAAAUGGUCAUUCUUGUCAUGGUAAACAAAAAAUAUUGCUUUGACUUUGUCCAUAAAGUUAGUUAGGGUGUGUUGGAAGAGUACCUUAAGAUAUACUCCCUCCGUCCUAAAAUAUAAGCAAAAACAAAUUUUGAACAAAAUACAUUAACUUUUAUUGACCAAAUUUUGCUUACAUGUUAGGACGGAGGACGGAGGGAGUAAGCAUUUUUAUAAUUCAGAGAACUUGUACAAUUUGUAUUUUUGGUAGAUUGAAGAAAUGACAAUAGCCAUUAGAAACUCACACACGUAUAAGUGCAGGAGCCGGAGUUCGAACUCUGGAGUCUGGAAUGAGCACAGUCAGCUUAUAAUAGUUUAGCCUACUCUAUCUAUAGAAGAUCAAACCCGUUGUCUCCACGCUCACUACCAAAAUGGGGUGGUGGAGAGGAAACUUAGACAAGUUGUUGAACUCGGACUCGUGUUUAUGUUUGAGUGAUUGAUGUUAUGGUGUUAUAUGAGAUAAAUGAUGGUUUUCUAAUGUCUUUAUUUGUUUCAGCAUUGCGAAGAAGACCGAGCCUAUGAAUACACUGGUAUUAUCUGCUUUCUUGGUUUUUGGAUUUUCUUGUAUUGUUGUUGGUGGUCAAGCUCUUGUGGAAGUUCCUUUUCUCCUCUUCGGGUAAGAACCAUAGCUUUGAUGUGUUGUUUCCUUUUUCAUUUCUUUGGAGGGAAGCUGGGCGGAUAAUAAAUUUUUGCGUGAAUGCCAAGAGAGAGUAGUCAAAGUAGUAUAGAUUUGUGAUACUGAGUAAGUAACCAUCAACAUCUUAAUUUAAUUUAUUCAAAAAAAUAAAAACAUCUUAAUUUAAGACAACUGUUUUAAAAAAGAACCGAAUUUCAACUAUUCCACGGUUCCUUCACUAAGCAAAAUAACCAGGGAGUAGAUAAUUGUAGAUUAUUCUGUCUUUGUUUAAAUCGGAUAUAUAAAGGAGUGUGGAAAUGAAGAGAAAAAUGAAUGGUUACAUUGCACCCACAAUUAGUCAUUGUUGAAGUGUUAUUUUAAGAAGCUCCGAUUCAGGUCUGACCCUUCCCUGCACCUUGACCUGAUGGAAGCUUAAUAGCAUUGUGGUGUUCUUUUUAUUUAUUUAUUUUCAUUAAGAAUACUCUUAGCUUUUGUUCUGUCCUUCAAUUGUUUUACUGGAAUUGAGGUGCAGUUGUACAAGGUCCUUCCUUUUCUUCAGGAAAUAAUAACAAUUUCUCAAUUCUCACAAGAUGUCCAGAUAAUUUACAUUUGUCUUGCAGUUAAAGUAUUUUCAACCGUGAUUGAUGAACUCUGUUGAAUAGUUUGGCUUUUGUUUGGGACUAACAGGCUUCAAAUUGUUGAAAUAUUAUAACCUAAAACUUCAACUGAAAAUUCGGAGUUGCCUUUUCCAUGAAAUGGUGCAUAGGAAAAUGCUUGUAUUUCUUGGCCAAGAUAAAUUUUGAAGUAGGCUCUAGUGGAAGUGUGGUUACCAUGACUAUUUCAAACAAGACCUGUCCAACGCUUAAGCUUGGCCUGAUUUAAUUGGAAUUUGACCUGUUGUUGAACCUAGUUGUUCAGAGUCUGAAAGACUAAGGCUCUGUCAAAAGGCUGAGCUUAACCCAGAAUAGAUAAUAUAAUUUUUUUUGGUAUUUCACCGAUUCAUUACUUGUUUACUUCAUCCUCUAACAUCAUAUGCUCUUAUUUGACAUAAUUAUUCGCUCUUUUGUUACCUAAAAUUUAUUGGAUAUAUCAAACAAUGUUUUUAUCACAUUCUUGCAG